GUUAUUUAAACACCUUGGGCAGUGUGUUUUGUUUUCAGAGAGGACUCAUAAAUAAGCUGGCUGUAGAGGACUCUGGAGACAGUGUUAAGGAGGAGACACCAUAAGCUCUGUCCUCCUGUCCUUUCUUACCACACCAUGUGGAAGAACAGAUAUGCUCAGCUGUACCUUUUUUCAGUUCUUCUUGCCUUCCUGCCUUCUGCAUCUUCACUCAAUGGAGACCCGAAGUAUAUGGUGCUGGUCCCUUCUCAGCUCUACACUGAGACCCCUGAGAAAAUCUGCUUCCAUCUAUACCAUCUGAAUGAGACAGUGACCGUCACAGCUUCCUUGGUGUCUCAAUCAAGAUGGAGAAACCUGUUCGAUGAGCAUAUCACAGAUUUCUUGGUAUCUCAAUUGGAAAGGAGAAACCUGUUCGAUGAGCUUGUGGUUGACAAGGACUUGUUCCAAUGUGUUUCCUUCAUUAUCCCUACACUCAACUCUCCUGAUGAGGAGGAGUUUCUCUACGUGGACAUCAAAGGGCCAACCCACGAAUUCAGCAAAAGGAAAGCAGUGCUUGUGAAGAACAAAGAAAGUGUUGUCUUUGUCCAGACAGAUAAGCCCGUGUACAAACCAGGACAAUCAGUUAAAUUUCGGGUUGUCUCUAUGGAUAAAACUCUACACCCCCUGAAUGAGUUGGUGAGUCUUUAACCUGUGGGUAUUGGUGGAUUAUUCAAGACAAAAAUGUCAGUGCAAUAUUAUAAUUUCCAGCCCCUUCUGAGGCAUGAGUUGUUUUUUCUUCUAAUCUUUUGCCCGUUUAUACCCCUCACUCACCAUUGGCCAUCCUAUGGCUUCUUUGUAUGUGAGUGUCCUUAUUUUGUAGCUUAUUGGUUAAGUAUCUUUGGGUUUUCUUUGUGGAGACUAUUAUUGGAUAGAAUCUUUCAGCUGCUUAUGCUUUUCAGUCAUUACUUUUGCAGAUUCUGCUACUUGGUGCCAUCCUUACGUAAUCCAUUUCUAGUGUAACAGGGUUACUUCUCUCACAGUCUCUAUUAUUUUUACAACUUUGUGUUUAAAACUUGGAUUCUUCCCUAAAUACAGUCUUUAAAGAACAAAAUUGCAUUUCAGUCUCUUCUCUGUACUCAGGCAAGUUGUGGGGACCUGUGUUAAGUUCCUUCUAAUAUGAGAAAGAAGCUUCUCUGAUGAGGGAUGAGGGGUGCUUUAAAGAUAAAUCAGUAACAGUUGGCU
rnacentral:lncRNA from 1 species